GGCUUGGAAUAAAGGCUAGGAAAGAGUUGGCCGCGAGUAUUCAGAGUUUUGACGCCCUGCACGCGGAAUAAGAACCAAAUUUGCGGCCUUGCAUGUGGAAUAAAGCCAAAUUUGCAUAACCCAUUCACCACCGACAUGAACUAAUCCAGGCUAAAGCUGGAGCUGGCUCUGCAACUCCCUCAACGGUGUGUCCUUUUUUUGGCCCGCAUAUGCCGCUGUGAAGUUUGCCAACGUGUUGGCAUUGUCAGAGUGUGCACUUUGCUUCUCAGGGGAAAGAGCUUCCAUUCUUUGCAUCUAAAGUCGCCUCGGCCGAACUGGGGCUAAGGAGGUUCUUCUCAUUGGCUUGCUGAAUGA